rnacentral:rRNA from 1 species
CUGCACAGGUGGUGCAUGGUUGUCGUCAGCUCGUGUCGUGAGAUGUUGGGUUAAGUCCCGCAACGAGCGCAACCCCUGCCUCUAGUUGCCAGCGGGUAGAGCCGGGCACUCUAGAGGGACUGCCGUCGAUAAGACGGAGGAAGGUGGGGAUGACGUCAAAUCAUCAUGCCCUAUAUGCUCUGGGCCACACACGUGCUACAAUGGCCGGUACAGAGGGGAGCGAAGGAGCGAUCCGGAGCGAAUCUCAAAAAGCCGGUCCAAGUUCGGAUUGCAGGCUGCAACUCGCCUGCAUGAAGGCGGAAUCGCUAGUAAUCGCGGAUCAGAAUGCCGCGGUGAAUGCGUUCCCGGGCCUUGUACACACCGCCCGUCACACCACGGGAGCCGGCAACACCCGAA